UACAGGGGGUGCAACCGUUGCUCGGAAUUAUUGGGCGUAAAGCGCACGUAGGCGGUUCGUUAUGUCAGAUGUGAAAGCCCUUGGCUCAACUGAGGAAGUGCAUCUGAAACUGGCGAGCUAGAGUACGUAAGAGGGUCGCGGAAUUCCCGGUGUAGAGGUGAAAUGCGCAGAUAUCGGGAGGAACACCGGUGGCGAAGGCGGUUCUCUGGGCCUUACCUGACGCUGAGGAGCGAAAGCGUGGGGAGCAAACAGG
rnacentral:rRNA from 1 species